rnacentral:rRNA from 1 species
AUUGAACGCUGGCGGCAUGCCUAACACAUGCAAGUCGAACGGGGCAGCAAUGCCUAGUGGCGGACGGGUGAGGAAUACGUAGGAAUCUGCCCUUAGGUGGGGGAUAACCAGGGGAAACCCUGACUAAUACCGCAUGAUCUCUUCGGAGCAAAGAGGGGGACCGCAAGGCCUCUCGCUUCUGGAUGAGCCUACGUCUGAUUAGCUAGUUGGUAGGGUAAAGGCCUACCAAGGCGACGAUCAGUAACUGGUCUGAGAGGAUGAUCAGUCACACCGGAACUGAGACACGGUCCGGACUCCUACGGGAGGCAGCAGUGGGGAAUAUUGGACAAUGGGCGCAAGCCUGAUCCAGCAAUGCCGCGUGUGUGAAGGAGGCCUUCGGGUUGUAAAGCACUUUAGCCUGGAAAGAAAAAACUUUGGUUAACACCCAAAGUCUUGACGGUACCAGGAGAAUAAGCACCGGCUAACUCUGUGCCAGCCGCCGCAGUAACAC